rnacentral:rRNA from 1 species
UACGAAGGGGGCUAGCGUUGCUCGGAAUCACUGGGCGUAAAGCGCACGUAGGCGGAUUGUUAAGUCAGGGGUGAAAUCCUGGAGCUCAACUCCAGAACUGCCUUUGAUACUGGCAAUCUCGGGUUCGGGAGAGGUGAGUGGAACUGCGAGUGUAGAGGUGAAAUUCGUAGAUAUUCGCAAGAACACCAGUGGCGAAGGCGGCUCACUGGCCCGAUACUGACGCUGAGGUGCGAAAGCGUGGGGAGCAAACAGG